UUCAGAGAGUCGUCACAUUGUGC
rnacentral:piRNA from 1 species